GACGAACGCUGGCGGCGUGCUUAACACAUGCAAGUCGAACGGAAAGGCCCUGCUUUUGUGGGGUGCUCGAGUGGCGAACGGGUGAGUAACACGUGAGUAACCUGCCCUUGACUUUGGGAUAACUUCAGGAAACUGGGGCUAAUACCGGAUAGGAGCUCCUGCUGCAUGGUGGGGGUUGGAAAGUUUCGGCGGUUGGGGAUGGACUCGCGGCUUAUCAGCUUGUUGGUUGGGUAGUGGCUUACCAAGGCUUUGACGGGUAGCCGGCCUGAGAGGGUGACCGGGCACAUUGGGACUGAGAUACGGCCCAGACUCCUACGGGAGGCAGCAGUGGGGAAUAUUGCACAAUGGGCGGAAGCCUGAUGCAGCAGCGCCGCGUGCGGGAUGACGGCCUUCGGGUUGUAAACCGCUUUCGCCUGUGACGAAGCGUGAGUGACGGUAAUGGGUAAAGAAGCACCGGCUAACUACGUG
rnacentral:rRNA from 1 species